CCUAAUUAUAAGAGAGAAUACGUACCAAUAAGUGAGAAAGUGAGAAUAAGGAGCAAAGCAAAGGAAAAAACUUUCAAACCAGCCAUUGUUAAUAGUUUUUUUUUUUUUUAUAAGUGUUUAUAGAUGAUUGUGAAAGUGAUGAU
rnacentral:sRNA from 1 species